AAUCAACGCUGGCGGCGUGCCUAACACAUGCAAGUCGAACGAGAAAGGGGAGCAAUCCCUGAGUACAGUGGCGACCGGGUGAGUAACACGUGACUACCUACCCUUGAGUGGGGGAUAACCUCGGGAAACCGAGGCUAAUACCGCAUAAUAUCGCAAGAUCAAAGGAGCAAUCCGCUCUUGGAGGGGGUCGCGGCUGAUUAGCUAGUUGGUAGGGUAAUGGCCUACCAAGGCGAAGANCGGUAUCCGGCCUGAGAGGGCGCACGGACACACUGGAACUGAAACACGGUCCAGACUCCUACGGGAGGCAGCAGUGGGGAAUUUUGCGCAAUGGGGGAAACCCUGACGCAGCAACGCCACGUGGAGGAUGAAGCUCCUUGGAGUGUAAACUCCUUUCGACCGGGACGAUAAUGACGGUACCGGUGGAAGAAGCACCGGCUAACUCUGU
rnacentral:rRNA from 1 species